GGUUAUUUCCUUUCUUAUUUGUGGAUGCCAUAGAAAUGUAUUUCUUAGGACGAAGUUUGACCCAUUUUUCAUAUAUUUCUUUACCUUCUAAGCUUUGGCACAAGUUAAUUAUUGCAAUCCCGCAAAGACCUUUCUUUCAUCACCUGAUGUCACAUUACGUACUAGCUAGGCAAUGUGUGGGAAUUUUUCUACUGCAGUCUUUCCUUCCUAUUCAUAUCUUUCACCAACAUUCCUAAACUUAAAUCCUCUGUUAGCUACUAGUUAAUUGCAAAGAUCUGAUCUCUGAGCCUCUCACUCUCAGCCUCAGGUGCUGCUUCUUGGGAACACUAAUUAAGGGUGACUUCUAGUUAUCUUCAAACUUAAGGAGAAAGAGUUGCAGAAAACAGUCAGUAUCUGCAGGUGCAGCAGCAUCAAGAUUCACACCGCCUAAUUUGCUAGGACUUCAGGACUGCACACGCUUAAUUAUACAUACAUAUAUACAUAUAUGUUAGCUCUUUGUGGAGUGCGGAAUAAAGUUCUAUUUUAGAUGUGGGAAUCUUGAUGAUGCUGCAUCAGCAAAUACAUGACUAGAAUUCCCGAUUCAGAUCGAAGGGAAGCAUGCCAUGAGAGGAAGAAGAUUUCAACAAGAUAGGACUCUCCCAACUUGUCCACUACUGGAUAAAGAAACGAAAAUAAAAUAAAAUUCAUGAAUCCCAUCAUGAGUGUCGUGUCGUCUCUCUUUGUAUAUAUUAUCUUAUUUUCCUUUAAUCUGAAAAACUAGUUUUUUCUUUCUUUCAAGAAUUUCGGUGGUAUAUCUGAUAUGACGAUAAUCAGUUACAAGUAUUUCUGUGUUGGGGUGACUGAUCUUUUGUGUCUUCGCUUCUGCAUAACUUUGUUUUUGAUA